rnacentral:rRNA from 1 species
GACGAACGCUGGCGGCGUGCUUAACACAUGCAAGUCGAACGGAAAGGCCCUGCUUUUGUGGGGUGCUCGAGUGGCGAACGGGUGAGUAACACGUGAGUAACCUGCCCUUGACUUUGGGAUAACUUCAGGAAACUGGGGCUAAUACCGGAUAGGAGCUCCUGCUGCAUGGUGGGGGUUGGAAAGUUUCGGCGGUUGGGGAUGGACUCGCGGCUUAUCAGCUUGUUGGUGGGGUAGUGGCUUACCAAGGCUUUGACGGGUAGCCGGCCUGAGAGGGUGACCGGCCACAUUGGGACUGAGUUACGGCCCAGACUCCUACGGGAGGCAGCAGUGGGGAAUAUUGCAGAAUGGGCGGAAGCCUGAUGCAGCAACGCCGCGUGCGGGAUGACGGCCUUCGGGUUGGAAUCCGCUUUCGCCUGUGACGAAGCGUGAGUGACGGUAAUGGGUAAAGAAGCACCGGCUAACUACGUG